rnacentral:rRNA from 1 species
AACGAACGCUGGCGGCGUGUUUAAGACAUGCAAGUCGCACGGGAUAAGACAUGUAGUAAUACUUGUUUUAUUUAGUGGCGCACGGGUGAGUAACACGUGAAUUACAUGCCCUAUAGUGGGGAAUAGCCAAGGGAAACUUGGAUUAAUACCCCAUGGUAUCGCAAGAUUAAAGGUGGCCGCAAGGCUGUCGCUAUAGGAUUGGUUCGCGCCCUAUCAGCUUGUUGGUGAGGUAACGGCUCACCAAGGCAAUGACGGGUACCUGGUCUGAGAGGACGAUCAGGCACACUGGAACUGAGACACGGUCCAGACACCUACGGGUGGCAGCAGUCGAGAAUAAUUCACAAUGGGGGCAACCCUGAUGGUGCAACGCCGCGUGAAGGAUGACGGUCUUCGGAUUGUAAACUCCUGUCAUCUGGGAGAAAGACCUGACGGUAAAUAGCCGGCAGGGUUGAUAGUACCAGAAGAGGAAGGGACGGCUAACUUCGUGCCAGCCGCCGCAGUAA